rnacentral:rRNA from 1 species
CCUACGGGUGGCAGCAGUGAGGAAUAUUGGUCAAUGGACGCAAGUCUGAACCAGCCAUGCCGCGUGCAGGAAGACGGCUCUAUGAGUUGUAAACUGCUUUUGUACGAGGGUAAACGCAGAUACGCGUAUCUGUCUGAAAGUAUCGUACGAAUAAGGAUCGGCUAACUCCGUGCCAGCAGCCGCGGUAAUACGGAGGAUUCAAGCGUUAUCCGGAUUUAUUGGGUUUAAAGGGUGCGUAGGCGGUCGGAUAAGUUAGAGGUGAAAUCCCGAGGCUCAACUUCGGAAUUGCCUCUGAUACUGUUCGUCUAGACAGUAGUUGCGGUAGGCGGAAUGUAUGGUGUAGCGGUGAAAUGCUUAGAGAUCAUACAGAACACCGAUUGCGAAGGCAGCUUACCAAGCUACUUCUGACGUUGAGGCACGAAAGCGUGGGGAGCAAACAGGAUUAGAUACCCGGGUAGUC